rnacentral:tRNA from 2 species
UCCUCCGUGGCCGACAUAGAAAGGCACCUGUCUUGUAAACAGGCCCAUGUGGGCGCGAACCCCACCGGAGGACCCA